ACUCAAAUGAAUUGACGGGGGCCCGCACAAGCGGUGGAUUAUGUGGUUUAAUUCGAAGCAACGCGAAGAACCUUACCUGGGUUUGACAUCCUCGGACAACUGUAGAGAUACAGUCUUUGUAGCAAUACAACCGAGAGACAGGUGCUGCAUGGCUGUCGUCAGCUCGUGUGGUGACAUGUUGGGUUAAGUCCCGCAACGAGCGCAACCCUUGUCUUUAGUUGCCAGCAUUCAGUUGGGCACUCUAAAGAGACUGCCGUGGUUAACACGGAGGAAGGUGGGGAUGACGUCAAGUCCUCAUGGCCUUUAUAUCCAGGGCGACACACGUAAUACAAUGGACGGUACAGAGGGAAGCAAAAUGGUGACAUGGAGCUAAUCUCAAAAAGCCGUUCUCAGUUCGGAUUGGAGUCUGCAACUCGACUCCAUGAAGUUGGAAUCGCUAGUAAUCGCGGAUCAGCACGCCGCGGUGAAUACGUUCCCGGGCCUUGUACACACCGCCCGU
rnacentral:rRNA from 1 species